rnacentral:rRNA from 1 species
CCCUUAGAUGUUCUGGGCCGCACGCGCGCUACACUGACGAAUGCAACGAGCUUAUAACCUUGGCCGAAAGGUCUGGGUAAUCUCCAAAUUUCGUCGUGAUGGGGAUAGAUUAUUGCAAUUAUUAAUCUUCAACGAUGAAUGCCUAGUAAGCGCAAGUCAUCAGCUUGCGUUGAUUACGUCCCUGCCCUUUGUACACACCGCCCGUCGCUCCUACCGAUUGAAUGGUCCGGUGAAGCGUUCGGACCGUGGCCUUUGGACGGUUCGCCGUCUGUUGGCUGCGGGAAGUUCGUUAAACCUUAUCAUUUAGAGGAAGGAGAAGUCGUAACA